rnacentral:rRNA from 1 species
AUUGAACGCUGGCGGCAGGCCUAACACAUGCAAGUCGAACGAGUGGCGGACGGGUGAAUAAUGUAUGGGAAACUGCCCGAUGGAGGGGGAUAACUACUGGAAACGGUCGCUAAUACCGCAUACUAUCGGAUGCGCCCAGAUGGGAUUAGCUGGUAGGUGGGGUAACGGCUCACCUAGGCGACGAUCCCUAGCUGGUCUGAGAGGAUGACCAGCCACACUGGAACUGAGACACGGUCCAGACUCCUACGGGAGGCAGCAGUGGGGAAUAUUGCACAAUGGGCGCAAGCCUGAUGCAGCCAUGCCGCGUGUAUGAAGAAGGCCUUCGGGUUGUAAAGCACUUUCAGCGGGGAGGCGUUACCCGCAGAAGAAGCACCGGCUAACUCCGUGCCAGCCGCCGCGGUAAUUC